rnacentral:lncRNA from 1 species
UCAUUUACCCUUAAUAGAGUUCGCCUACAAUAACAACUACCAAGAAAGUAUUGGCAUAGCUCCAUACGAGGUGAUAUAUGGCCGCCCAUGCAGAUCGCCGAUCUGUUGGGAAGAGGUGGUUGAUAGAAAAUUGUUCGGUCCAGAUCUUGUGGAAGAGACUACAGCCAACUAGUUAAAAUCAGGAAGAACAUCUAGACGGC